rnacentral:rRNA from 1 species
AGCGACAGGCCUAACACAUGCAAGUCGAGGGGCGAGCACAAGGAGCAAUCUGAGGUGGCGACCGGCGCACGGGUGAGUAACACGUAUGCAACCUGCCUGUAAGCGGGGAAUAACCCGUUGAAAGACGGACUAAUACCGCAUAAUACUAAAUUACUGCAUGGUAAUUUAUUUAAACAUUUAUGGCUUACAGAUGGGCAUGCGCAUGAUUAGCUAGUUGGAGAGGUAACGGCUCCCCAAGGCAACGAUCAUUAGGGGUUCUGAGAGGAAGGUCCCCACACUGGUACUGAGACACGGACCAGACUCCUACGGGAGGCAGCAGUGAGGAAUAUUGGUCAAUGGACGAGAGUCUGAACCAGCCAAGUCGCGUGCAGGAAGAAUGUCCUAAUGGAUUGUAAACUGCUUUUGCAGGGGAAUAAAGUGCAUCACGUGUGAUGUUUUGUAUGUACUCUGCGAAUAAGGAUCGGCUAACUCCGUGCCAGCCGCAGC